CGCCAUCAACCAGAGCCCUCUCGCUGGCCAUCCCUCCUCUAUUAUUCGCUGCACUCAGCCUUCUCUUCUUACGUCCUCGUCAACUUCCCAGCAUCCCACUUCACAGAUCCUCCUCGCCUGUUUCACCAAGUACCUCUCUCCUCUCUUUCUGUCUCUUUUCAUUUCUAGAAAAUGGCUUUCUUUCUCAUCUCUCUCUGCAAAACUACUUUAUUCUCUCUCUGUAUCUCUCUCCAUCUAGCUGUGUAGCCCUAAAUCUCUUUGUCUCUUUAUUACCAACCUCCCAUCCGUCAUUGACAUCACAGCUCUAGUCUUUUAAAUCUAAAGGAAGCAUCAUGCUCACAAGUUCGGCAAAAACGACAUUCAUCAGUCAAGAUGCAGUGACAACAAACGAAUUGAUUGGAAAAUAAUUCAGGAUGAAAAUGGAAUGACACUUGCCAAGGUGUUGAGGCAAUUCACAAGUACUUAUUCAAAUUGCAUAUUUGAAUAGGAUAGCAGAUUUUCAUUGGUGAAUGUAAGUAAUGCUAAAGUUAUUACAGGUUAUUGUUGAAGGGGCUGAUUUCUUACU